rnacentral:tRNA from 1 species
GCCCCUGUGGAGUAGUCGGUCAUCUCGCCCCCCUCUCAAGGGGGAGACCGCGGGUUCGAAUCCCGCCGGGGGUACAA